GGAUAAAGUGCAGAGCAUUAAGCAUACAUAGGACUCUGCUUUAUUUAUUACUACACCACACGUAGCACAUUGUUAGGUACACACACAGACACAAUAAUCUAGCAGACAUGCAUGGAUGAGUGCAGAGCAAGGCUCUGUUUUAUUUACAUACUAUAUAUAUAUAUAUAUAUGUGCGCGCGCGCGCGCUUUAAGGUCAUCCAUGCAAUUUAGGUUGACUUGUUUUGAAUAUAGUUAUCAAGUUCUGUCAAGGUCUUCACUGCAAUCACUGCAAUCUCUGCAUCAAGCUGAAGAGCUCUUGCUUUAUUCUCGGGGAGAUAGUUAUAAGUCCAGGUCCAUCCCACCCAUUUCUCACUAUUUGGGUGAAUUAUUACAGCUUGGAAGUUGUUGACAUCAUAUUUUUGGAGGAUAUCACCAGCAGUUACAGUGUAAGCUAAUUUUCCCAAGCUGUUUUCAGUGAUAAGCUCAGACGAGGUUUUGAUAUUCUGAGAAUCUGGGCCAUACUCGACUUUGCGCACCCCCGUGCCGCUGAUAAGAAUUGAUGUAUAUAGGCUAGGUGCGGCUUGAGGAAACGAAUUUGCGGAAUCUUGAAUUUUAGUCCAGAACGUGUCUGGUUGACUCUUGAUCAGAACUUGAACACCAGCUGUGGCGGUGACAAACGCCAUUUUCGCUUUCAGAGAAACAAAGCAAAGCAAAGAGAGAAAUAUUUG
rnacentral:misc_RNA from 1 species